rnacentral:rRNA from 1 species
GGAAUAUUGGUCAAUGGGCGAGAGCCUGAACCAGCCAAGUAGCGUGCAGGAUGACGGCCCUAUGGGUUGUAAACUGCUUUUAUAUAGGGAUAAAGUGCACUACGUGUAGUGUUUUGUAGGUACUAUAUGAAUAAGGACCGGCUAAUUCCGUGCCAGCAGCCGCGGUAAUACGGAAGGUCCGGGCGUUAUCCGGAUUUAUUGGGUUUAAAGGGAGCGCAGGCUGAUUAUUAAGCGUGACGUGAAAUGUAGCCGCUCAACGGCUGAACUGCGUCGGGAAAUGGUAGGCUUGAGUGAGGUCGAUUGUGGCGGAAUUCGUGGUGUAGCGGUGAAAUGCUUAGAUAUCACGAAGAACUCCGAUUGCGAAGGCAGCCAACAAGGCCUUUACUGACGCUAAAGCUCGAAGGUGCGGGUAUCGAACA